GUUCAUACUUGUUCUUAGCUAGGACAAAAUUUUUCCUUCAAUUUAUUGUAUCAUGUGUUUAAGCAAUAAGGGAAUCCAAGGAAUGUAUUUGAUCUAAGAGACAAGUGAUUUAAAUAAGUUAGAUUAGCGAGACCUUUCCCUUAUGUUCAUUCCUAAAACGUUCCUAGCCAUAGGAUUGCCAAUUAGGCAUUGACAAUCCACUAAGGUUAGUAUGUGUUAUGUCAACUCAAGCGUGAGUAUGACUAGUCUCAAGUCAUUUAGUGUUGGACACUAAGACGAACACAUAGGUGCUUGAAAGAGUAAUCGAGUACACUGAACAACGAUCAAAAGAGAGUUCGCACAUACAUGUCAUGUAAGAACUCGUAAGUUGCAAUAUGCAAUGUAGUACUUUGACCUGAGGCAUCAUAGAUGUCUAAUGGUUAGGUCCUUGAUCUUUGAUCAUGUCAAAGGCAUUCCAUCGAGAGUGUCCACGACAUUGUUGGGGUCAAGCUAUCUAGUCAUGUAGGCAUAUGAAUGCACAACAAGGAAUCUCUAACCUUUCAUGGUGGAAGGAGAAUACUCUAAGAUAUGAUUCGGGAUUCUUUGGCCAAAGCAUACGAAUAUGACUUAGGAAGUAUGUUCCAAAUCAUAUUCAAUUGAAUCAUAUAGAGAAGUAUCACAUUGAAUAGUAGACAUGAUACAAACUAUCACUCAAACAAUGUGAUUAAGAGUAUUGUAUUAGAGAAGGACUAUAUUGCAUUGUAAUUGUAACUGGAUAGGUUCUCCAACCAAUUCUA
rnacentral:lncRNA from 1 species